AUUAAGAGGAGGUGAUUGUAUUAUUCCUCUUUUCAGAUAAUUGAGAGAGAGAAGAGAACAGCAGUAGCCUUGCCAGAAAUAUUGAGCAAGGCAGAUUUAUUAGAUGAAGGUAUCAAAAUACUUUCCAUUGAGGAAACAGGUUGGAGGUGGGAGGCUGUAACCAUGCUUGAUUUUGUACCACCCUAACCUUUGCUUGAUCCAGGUUCCAGUCCAAUAUGCACCAUUCAGCCUGGUUGCAGCAUGGUAAGCAGCCCUGGAGGCAGCAGAUGAGGGAUCCUAUGAAGCAACUUUCAGACAUUCAGAACCAACAC
rnacentral:lncRNA from 1 species